rnacentral:rRNA from 1 species
AUUGAACGCUGGCGGCAGGCCUAACACAUGCAAGUCGAACGGUAACAGGAAGCAGCUUUCUGCUUCUCUGACGAGUGGCGGACGGGUGAGAAAUGUCUGGGAAGCUGCCGGAUGGAGGGGGAUAACUACUGGAAACGGUAGCUAAUACCGCAUAAUGUCGCAAGACCAAAGAGGGGGACCUUCGUGCCUCUUGCCAUCGGAUGUGCCCAGAUGGGAUGAGCUUGUUGGUGGGGUAACGGCUCACCAAGGCGACGAUCCCUAGCUGGUCUGAGAGGAUGACAAGCCACACUGGAACUGAGACACGGUCCAGACUCCUAAGGGAGGCAGCAGUGGGGAAUAUUGCACAAUGGGCGCAAGCCUGAUGCAGCCAUGCCGAGUGUAUGAAGAAGGCCUUCGGGUUGUAAAGUACUUUCAGCGGGGAGGAAGGGAGUAAAGUUAAUACCUUGGCUCAUUGACGUUACCCGCAGAAGAAGCACCGGCUAACUCCGUG